UUGGAUGAAGUGUGGAUAAAGUGAUGUACAAUUAGGAUGAUAGUGGUCCUCUAAGGUUGAGUGAGCGGUUGAUUAAAUAGUAUGAUGUAACGGAUGAAAAUGAUUAAAAGGUUAGAUCUAACGGUAGAAAAUUUGGUAGCACUAAAUACUUGGUGCUGUCGAUAGCAUUAUAAUCAGACAGACACACACACUCUCUUAUAUAUAUAUAUCUGG
rnacentral:lncRNA from 1 species